rnacentral:rRNA from 1 species
AUUGAACGCUGGCGGCAUGCCUUACACAUGCAAGUCGAACGGCAGCACGGGGCAACCUGGUGGCGAGUGGCGAACGGGUGAGUAAUGCAUCGGAACGUGCCAUUGAGUGGGGGAUAACGUAGCGAAAGUUGCGCUAAUACCGCAUAUUCUGUGAGCAGGAAAGCAGGGGACCGCAAGGCCUUGCGCUCUUUGAGCGGCCGAUGUCAGAUUAGCUAGUUGGUGAGGUAACGGCUUACCAAGGCGACGAUCUGUAGCGGGUCUGAGAGGAUGAUCCGCCACACUGGAACUGAGACACGGUCCAGACUCCUACGGGAGGCAGCAGUGGGGAAUUUUGGACAAUGGGCGCAAGCCUGAUCCAGCCAUGCCGCGUGAGUGAAGAAGGCCUCGGGUUGUAAGACGUCUUUCGGUCCGGG